rnacentral:rRNA from 1 species
CGAUACGGGCUGACUUGAGGGCGUGAGAGGCGAGUAGAACUCCCGGUGGACCAGUGAAAUGGGUAGAGAUCGGGAAGAAUACCAGUGGUGCAGACGGCUCGCUGGCGCGUACCUGACGCUGAGACACGAAAGCUUGGGGAGCAAACAGGAUUAGAUACCCUGGUAGUCCAAGCUGUAAACGAUGUCCACUAGGUGUGCGGGGUAUCGACCCCCUGCGUGCCGGAGCUAACGCACGAAGUGGACCGCCUGGGGAGUACGGCCGCAAGGUUAAAACUCAAAGGAAUUGACGGGGACCCGCACAAGCAGCGGAGCGUGUGGUUUAAUUCGAUGCGACGCGAAGAACCUUACCUGGGUUCAAUUCUGUUUGCACCACCCGUUAUGGGGUGUGCCCGCAAGGGACAGACAGAACGGUGCUGCAUGGCUGUCGUCAGCUCGUGCCGUGAGGUGUUGGGUUAAGUCCCCUAACGAGCGCAACCCCUGGCGUCGGUUAUACCUCCGACGCAACUGCCGCGCACAACGCGGAGGAAGGUGGGGAUGACGUCAAGUCAGCACGGCCCUUACGCCCAGGGCGACACACACGCUACAAUGGUCAGGACAAUGGGUUGCUACCUCGCGAGAGGACGCUAAUCCCGCAAACCUGGCCUCAGUUCGGAUGGUAGGCUGCAACUCGCCUGCCUGAAGUCGGAGUUGCUAGUAACCGCAGGUCAGCACACUGCGGUGAAUACGUUCCCGGGUCUUGUACACACCGCCCGUCACACCACGAAAGUGCGUAACACCUGAAGUUGGGUCGGCAACCGCAAGGAGCCGCCUGCCCAGGGUGGGGCGCGUGAUUGGGGUGAAGUCGUAACAAGGUACCAAUCCCGCGG